rnacentral:rRNA from 1 species
UACGGGGGGUGCAAGCGUUGUUCGGAAUCACUGGGCGUAAAGAGCGUGUAGGCGGCUUGGUAAGUCAGAUGUGAAAUUCCUGGGCUCAACCCAGGGAGUGCAUUUGAAACUGCUUGGCUUGAGUGGGGGAGAGGAAGGUGGAAUUCCUGGUGUAGAGGUGAAAUUCGUAGAUAUCAGGAGGAACACCGGUGGCGAAGGCGGCCUUCUGGCCCUUAACUGACGCUGAGACGCGAGAGCGUGGGUAGCAAACAGG